GAUGAACGCUGGCGGCGUGCUUAACACAUGCAAGUCGAGCGAAGCGGCUGAAUUGAUUCUUCAGAUGAUUUUCAGUUGACUGAGCGGCGGACGGGUGAGUAACGCGUGGGUGACCUGCCCCAUACCGGGGGAUAACAGCUGGAAACGGCUGCUAAUACCGCAUAAGCGCACAGAGCUGCAUGGCUCGGUGUGAAAAACUCCGGUGGUAUGGGAUGGGCCCGCGUCUGAUUAGGCAGUUGGCGGGGUAACGGCCCACCAAACCGACGGUCAGUAGCCGGCCUGAGAGGGCGACCGGCCACAUUGGGACUGAGACACGGCCCAAACUCCUACGGGAGGCAGCAGUGGGGAAUAUUGCACAAUGGGGGAAACCCUGAUGCAGCGACGCCGCGUGAGCGAAGAAGUAUUUCGGUAUGUAAAGCUCUAUCAGCAGGGAAGAUAAUGACGGUACCUGACUAAGAAGCCCCGGCUAACUACGUGCCAGCAGCCGCGGUAAUACGUAGGGGGCAAGCGUUAUCCGGAUUUACUGGGUGUAAAGGGAGCGUAGACGGCAAGGCAAGUCUGAUGUGAAAACCCAGGGCUUAACCCUGGGACUGCAUUGGAAACUGUCUGGCUCGAGUGCCGGAGAGGUAAGCGGAAUUCCUAGUGUAGCGGUGAAAUGCGUAGAUAUUAGGAAGAACACCAGUGGCGAAGGCGGCUUACUGGACGGUAACUGACGUUGAGGCUCGAAAGCGUGGGGAGCAAACAGGAUUAGAUACCCUGGUAGUCCACGCCGUAAACGA
rnacentral:rRNA from 1 species